rnacentral:rRNA from 1 species
CCUACGGGUGGCAGCAGUGAGGAAUAUUGGUCAAUGGACGCAAGUCUGAACCAGCCAUGCCGCGUGCAGGAAGACGGCUCUAUGAGUUGUAAACUGCUUUUGUACGAGGGUAAACGCAGAUACGCGUAUCUGUCUGAAAGUAUCGUACGAAUAAGGAUCGGCUAACUCCGUGCCAGCAGCCGCGGUAAUACGGAGGAUUCAAGCGUUAUCCGGAUUUAUUGGGUUUAAAGGGUGCGUAGGCGGUCGGAUAAGUUAGAGGUGAAAUCCCGAGGCUCAACUUCGGAAUUGCCUCUGAUACUGUUCGGCGAGAGUGUAGUUGCGGUAGGCGGAAUGUAUGGUGUAGCGGUGAAAUGCUUAGAGAUCAGACAGAACACCGAUUGCGAAGGCAGCUUACCAAGCUACUUCUGACGUUGAGGCACGAAAGCGUGGGGAGCAAACAGGAUUAGAUACCCGAGUAGUC